AUUGGUCUUAUGGUACAAAGACGUUAGAAACAGGACUACGAAAUUAAUUAUGGUUCUGUCUCUUUCGUUUUGCAUCAUGGGAACAUA